UACAACAAAGAAUGUCUACAUCCAUU
rnacentral:piRNA from 1 species